rnacentral:misc_RNA from 1 species
GUUCCCAUCACAUUACUGCUGUCCCUGCUUCUGAAUCAGAGAUUGAAGCUGAAGCAAAUGCUGUUAGAGCUGUUUCUGAGUCAAUCUGCCCACUAAAAAUUACCCUAGACAGAGUGGUUCUGACAUCAACUGGGGUGUUAGUAGGUUGUUGGCAGGUGGACUCUGGAAGUGAUCCAGUAACUAUCAGACAAAAAUUGAGAAAUGCUCUUCCACAUGCACCUGCGAAGCAACUUUAUGAUGCUGUAAUGCUUCAUACCUCAUUUGCCAGACUUCUUGGACACCCUAGUAGUUGGCCUGAGGCAAUUGUCGGUGAGCUUUGGUACGUUGAGGAAUAUGACAUAUUAGCUCUUGCGUUGGAUGGGAGAAUGAAAGUCCGCAAGUUCCAGCUUGGCUGUUCGAAAGUGUGAAUCAAUCUAUGAGAAUGGAGUAUUGAACCUUUCACCACUUGCUCCUGUAUGGCAAAGACAUUAACGUAUCGAUGGGGAUCAUACGAAUUCUGAUGUGCAGAAAUAUUCACUUCCACUAUAUAUACAAAGGAGCGCUAAAAGUUGGGAUAUUACAAUGUAUAGUUUGCUAUUCGAACAUUUUCUGCAUGAUAUUUUAAAUUUAUACUAUAAGUUUGUUAAAAGUAUGUGGUUAACAUUUUCUAAUGUGUCAAGUCUUUGGUGUAGAAGUAAAGUUGGUGUCAAAU